CUGCUGCCUCCCGUAGGAGUCUGGUCCGUGUCUCAGUACCAGUGUGGGGGACCUUCCUCUCAGAACCCCUACGCAUCGUCGCCUUGGUGGGCCGUUACCCCGCCAACUAGCUAAUGCGCCGCAUGCCCAUCCUCCGCCGGAAUCGCUUCCUUUUAACACCCGUGGGAUGCCCCACUGGUGUACCACGCGGUAUUAGUCCGGAUUUCUCCGGGUUAUCCCCCUGCGGAGGGCAGGUUGCAUACGUGUUACUCACCCGUGCGCCGGUCGCCGG
rnacentral:rRNA from 1 species